rnacentral:rRNA from 1 species
CAGGCCUAACACAUGCAAGUCGAGCGGGUCGCAAGACCAGCGGCAAACGGGUGCGUAACGCGUAAGCAACCUGCCCACUACUGGGGGAUAGCCUUGCGAAAGCGGGGGUAAACCCGCAUGGUCCUGGAGAGUCACCUGGCUUUUUAGGUAAACAUUUAUGGGUAGUGGAGGGGCUUGCGUCUGAUUAGCUAGUUGGCGGGGUAAGGGCCCACCAAGGCGACGAUCAGUAGGGGUUCUGAGAGGAUUGGCCCCCACAUGGGUACUGAGACACGGACCCAACUCCUACGGGAGGCAUUAGUAGGGAAUAUGGGGCAAUGGAGGCAACUCUGACCCAGCCAUGCCGCGUGGAGGAUGACGGCGCUCAGGGUUGUAAACUCCUUUUAACUGGGAAGAACGGGAGACGUGCGCCUUUGUGUGACGGUACCAGUGGAAUAAGCACCGGCUAACUCCGUGCCAGCAGUCGGGGUAAU